rnacentral:lncRNA from 1 species
GCCAUCAGAAAGAGAAGAAGGCGUUUAUUGUCGAAACUCGGAUCCAAGAGAGCUUCUCAGACAUUGGCUAAGUUCAAAGCAUCAUGAAAAUUUGAAGAUGAAAUCAUCGAAGGAUCGACGAUUGCCUACAAAGUCAGGUUCAGGGACUACAAGGCUGCAAUUUUUUAUCUUCACCCUGAGUUGGACUUGAGAGAGCUACAGUCGAAUGAAGGCAACA